CGUAUUUUAUGCUAUAGUUUGCUGCACACGACCCAUAUCUUGCAUCAAAAUUGGUACCGUAUAAGUUUUACAUGCUAUAGUUCGUUGCACACGAUGCAUCUCUUUACGGACCUUCAACUCGACUACACUAUAAGCAUUAAGUUCAUUGGGUUUACCCGGGCCCCGGUGAGGAAUGCGGAAGAACUUUAAAGUUUUGAAAAAUAAUGCACCAGCCAUGUUUGUUUUCAUUCACUGCAUGUAACAUCGGACCACUGGGAUAGCCAUUUGUUUUAUAAAAGGAUAUCUACAUAAGUAAGAAAUUUGUUAAUGGCAACAUCUGUUUGUGGUAGGGGUAAAAUGACGGUGGAUAAUCUCAAUGUGUAGUAGGGUGCGGCUUUUAAUUACAUGCAUUAUGUUAUGUCGCAGGACAUGAGCUGUAUGUCUGUGUUUUCGUUAUUACGUAGAUAGUGGUGGGAAAUUACAAUGUAAUGUUUUCAAUAUAUUUGAAAGUGAUUCUUAAACUUGAUUAUCUCACUUGAUCAUCAUGUACAUAUUCAUCAUUAUCAUUUAUAUUAUCAACAGCACUCAGUAUUCACCAUGCAAUAGAUUGUCGUCCGUCGUGUGUUAAAAUUGAACAUUUUUAAUUAAGAACGUCAUAACCACAGUCCAAUUCAUUUCAAAUUUGGCAUGAAGCAUCUUUGGGAGAAGAGGGGCAUGAAUUGUAAAUUUCAGGACUCUUGUCCUAUGGUGUGCUAGGGACAAGACAAAAACUGCCCAAAUUUUACAGAUUUUCAAAUGUUUCCCUUCAAUAAUCGCACACCUGUAAGAAAAACUAAAUGUAUAGUGAUGUAGGGCAGGAAUACAUCUACUAAAAUUAUAAAUUUCAUGAUCCCCGGGGUAGGGGUUCUGACCUCAGGGCGGGUGCCAAACUGAAGUAUAUAGUGUUUAUGUGUAAACACUUACAUAGCAUCUUCUUUAGUGUUAUUAAUGCUAAAUGGAAAGUAAUUGGAUAUUUAGAAAGAGGAGGUAGUCCUUUACCAAAAUUGCUAUCUCAAUUAAUCCCGGGGUAGGGAUUCUAACACUAGGGUGGGGCUAAACUUAGUAGAUAUUAUCAUGUAAGUUUGCUGAUAAUGUAUAAAAGCUAAAUGCAUACUUAGGAAUAGCAGGAAAGGAUGUACAAAAAAAUGGUGAAUUUCAAAACCCAGGGUUAUGACUUUAUGAUGAUUCCAAAUUAGUCAUAUAUUUCGAUGUUUUAAUGUUAAUACACUAUCUAAAACCUUUCAUACACCUAUUAUUUAUUCAUAUCUCUUGUGGUACUGGUUCAAUAAUGAUUUAAAUUGCUCUUCACCUUUUUCUGUAAGUGACCUUUGUCUUGACUCUCUUACCUCUUGAUGAGACAUGAUAAUUUCUAGAUGUCUUGCAAGGUUUAGCUGAUAAUGUCAAUUUAUAUAUAUAUAAAAUAAAUGUUUACGGUGAAAUGAUCUAGUGUUCAUUUUGCUUGCUGGGUUCCUUCAGUUCAGCGAUGUCGAUGAUUGGAAAAUCCACUCACGGGUAAGUUCUGCCGGCCGAUAUUCGUAAUUCACCAUUUCUUACUAUGCUGGCAUGCAGCUAGCUUAACCACAAUAGUCCAGGAAAAUAAAAACAAACACUGAAGUCGUUGUAGAUGGGACAUUGAUGGUAAGAACUGAAACAUGAAAAAUGUAAACAAUGACAGAAAUGAUCAAAUUGUGGCAGUAUCGGUCUAUAUUAUCUCCAUUUCAUUAUUUUCUACUUACUUGUCUACGUAAAUUCCUAUCUUCGUAUUCGAGUUGUUUAUUUCAUGAAACAGGAAGAGAGUUAUCUUUUAUUUUCCAACGUAUUUUAUUACAAAACUUCCCAUUGGUUACUUCUAGAUUUAUUAUCAAAUCACAUCCCACCUCUGGUGUGUCCAGGGGUCCGUGCUUGCCCAACUAUCUAUUUUGUAUUGCUUGUAGGAGUUAUAAGAUUGAUCACUGUUCGUUAUCUUCACCUUGCAUUACAGUUUAGGAUGCGUAUUUUAACAGCGUGAGGAAGCUACAUUUCUUUACCCGUCUCCACUUACAUCGGUCUCCGACAUGCCACUUUUGUUAACUUCUCUGUUCUUACACAAUGCGUUCGAAUAAAUGUCUCUCAAGAACUUGUUUGUAUUCAACAUUUGCACACGGUUAUGUGAAAACAAAAACAUGAUUUUAUUCGCUUUCUUUAUUUGGCUCUACCUGUCCAUUUCGUGGAUAUAUCGUUUUUAUUUCUCCGUCUGUCCGCAAAGUCUUUAACCUUGACCAAAAGAAUUACAUAGAGAAGUGAGAGUGUUGAAUGUCUGUACCUACAAAAGAGAAUAUAUAAGGUGCACAAUCAAACUCACCAAAUCCUUGUAGAGAAAGGGGUGGGUGUCUAAUUCUCACAAAAUGUCACCAUGAUUCUACGGACGAAAAUAUCGCACGGUAAUUGCUCUGAUACAAUACAAAUCUCGCACGACUCGUAACAAAGUAAAGUAUUGCAACCAGAUCCUUGUAGAGAAAUGGGUAAGUGUUUAGUUCUACCAAAUUUUCAUCGCUAUACUAGGGUGUAAAUCGCACGAUAAUUGCCUCAGUACAAUACAAAUCUGUGACGAAUCUUAGCUAAGUAAAGUACAACAACGGCAAUUUUACUAUGGAGUAUUUGAUCCUGAUGACUUUUCUAUAGAACUAAAAAUUCCAAUGAAAAUUGUUAAUUGAUUUAUUAUAGUUUUACUCCUUUUAGGCAAUAUUUCAGCCAUUUUACGGCAUUUGAAUUUUUAUAGUACAUCUUAAAUGGGAAAAAAACAUAUUGAAGGAUGAGGGAGGUUUUUAAAUCAUUCAAAUUUAAACAAAAAAAAUGAGAAAUAAAACUGGAUCGAACACGUUAUCUUAUAUUUUUGGUAUAUUCCAAUUGUGUUCUGUUUCAACUGAAAUAUAUUUUAGUAUAAGACAUUCAUUUUGCAUUGUAGGGACAUUAUUCUCUGUAUGUGUACUUCACGAACAAUUCCCAAAUACAUACCAUUUUAUACAUAGAUUAAACAUUGCACAAUAACAAUCACACUGCAGCCCAGAAAGAUAGCAGCAUUCCACAUACCAUCUUAGCGCGCCUGGGGAGAACAAUUACUGUUAAUUUAAACAUCUCCAUUGCAACAGAGGCAUCAAUUAUUUCUUCUGAUCAUAUCAUGGUAUUUAAACUUUAUUUAAAAACUUCAAUACACAAUAGCUUUAAUUUGGUAGAAGUAUUGAGGAACUUUAAAACAAACCUGAUUUGUCACUCUAUAUUAAUUACAUGGACCAGUUUUUGACUUGAUCCUUUUCAUUGUGAGAUAUUCAUUGACUUCUUUUCUGAAGAUUUAAAUCAUUAUUGAGAAACAUCUGAAAACGAUAGGUUCAGUGAAAUAAUUGUGAAUCUCAAAAGUGUGAUUUGUGACUGUUUAUUGAAUAGAUAUAAACAGAAGAAAAAGUGUUGCUUCAUUUAAAUUAUUUUAAAGGGUAAUCAUUAUUUGAUGAUAUCAGAAUAAGAAAUGUAGUUUUCAUACAACGACAGCGAAACGUUAAAGAACUGGAGCAAGGUGUGUCACUAAUUAAGGUAAGUUAUUGUUCAAACUUCACCAUUCAUAUGUAUAAUGUAAAACUUAUACGGUACCAAUUUUGAUGCACCAGAUGCGCAUUUCGACAAAUAAUGUCUCUUCAGUGAUGCUCGACCGAAAUGUUUGAAAUCCGAAAUAACUAUGAAGUUUUAGAGCUAAAUAUAGCCAAAAACAGCGUGCCAAAAAGUGGAGCCAAACUCGUCCAAGGAUAAGAGCCAUGUAUGAGGGAGAUAAUCCUUAAUUUUGAAAUGAAUUUCUAUAUUUUAUCAUACAAUUACUAACACGUUGAGGUCAAUACAAUGUGUUAGAUACUUAAACAAUAGAGACAAUUCACCCAUUUACUGUGUAAAUAUAAAACGCGUUCGAUUGCUUAUAACAAUGAAUUAUGAAAUGGUGUUUCGAUAGCUUAUAAUAGUCAAGAAUGAUACGGUGUUUCGACUGCUUAUAAUAUACAAGCAUAAUUAGGCGUCGGAAUAUCAUAUGAUAUUUAAGCAUAAAAAAUAAUUCCGAUUGCGUAUAACACGCAGGUAUAAAACGGUGUUCCGACCCAUAUCGAUUGCUUCUAAUUUUCAGAUAUAUUCACCGUUGACAUAGGAGAAACGACGAAGUCAUUAAUAAAGUCUAGAAUUUCUUUAAAAAUUUAAAGAGUAAUAAAAGGGUGGUAUCGCACCGAUAUUCAUUCUCUUUAUAUUACUAUAGAUAAGAAUCAUUAAAACUCGUUUUUUUUUUAAAUUGAUAUCAAAUAACGCACUUGGAAAUGCUUUAGACGUUACUUGUCUCGUCUGCCGACCCCUGAAAAAAAACAGAGCUCUAAAUGACAAUUUCUAUUUUUAACUAUCAAACAAGACUACCCUGAAAUAGAAGUGUCUAUCAUGUGUGUAAACAGCCUGAGAUGCACCUUAUGAAGUUACCCCAGC